rnacentral:rRNA from 1 species
UUUAUCCUACGGGGGGCAGCAGUGGGGGAUAUUGCACAAUGGGGGAAACCCUGAUGCAGCGACACCGCGUGGGUGAGGAAGCGCUUCGGCGUGUAAAGCCCUAUCAGUGGGGAAGAAAAAGGACGGUACCCAAAGAAGAAGCACCGGCUAAAUACGUGCCAGCAGCCGCGGUAAUACGUAGGGGGCAAGCGUUAUCCGGAUUUACUGGGUGUAAAGGGAGCGUAGACGGCAGAGCAAGUCUGAAGUGAAAGCCCGCGGCCCAACUGCGGGACUGCUUUGGAAACUGCCCGGCUAGAGCGCUGGAG